GCUGAAGUCAAAAGGGCAUUCCACAAACGUAUAGAACAUCUGGAUUGUUUUCAAAUGGUAUUGUUCCCUAUCCUUCAAACAUGGACAUCACAAGGGCUGGAUGAAAAAAUUCGGCACUACUUCCUUUUGGUUUUGAACUUGUAGGCAAAGUGUUUUGAGGUGCUUGACUCCAUGAGGUCUCUAAAUGAUGAAAAGCUAGUAAAUUGUUGUGCUACCCUUUAACAAUGAAUCAAGGAGUGUUGGAAAAUAUUCUACAAGACACAAAGAAGAAAAUAGACUCCUAUGAACUGAUAGACAUUCAAGUACCUUUGCAGACCAAUAACUAAGAUUGUGAACAUUGGAAUGGUAGAAUCCUACCUACAUUCAAGGAAGAACAUAUGCCAAACAUUCGUAAGUUGCUGACAUAUAAAUGGCUUAACCACCCUAAAAAUAAUAUAAAUUGGA